rnacentral:rRNA from 1 species
UACAGAGGGUGCAAGCGUUGUUCGGAUUUACUGGGCGUAAAGCGUGCGUAGGCUGUACUGAGAGUCGCGGGUGAAAUCCCAGGGCUUAACCCUGGAACUGCCUGCGAGACCUCAGUACUAGAGUGUGAGAGGGGAUUGUGGAAUUCCUGGUGUAGCGGUGAAAUGCGUAGAGAUCAGGAGGAACACCGGUGGCGAAGGCGGCAAUCUGGCUCACAACUGACGCUCAGGCACGAAAGCGUGGGUAGCAAACAGG